rnacentral:tRNA from 1 species
ACGGCUGUAGGUUAAUUGGUAGACCAUUCGUCUUCCAAACGAUAUGUACUGGUUCGAGUCCGGUUAGCCGUA